GCCCACUACCAAUACGCAUAAAAUGUUAACAUCCAUCAUCGCCCGCGCACUGAUACCCUUAACAAAAAACAUUCUCGAUUACACUUUCGCUCUAUCAUCACCUCUACCACCAAGGCUAGAAUACCAGAACUCUCUUCAUCCUGAUCAUUCAACGUCACCCACAACCACCACCACCACCACCAUGACUUGGGUUCAAAACACUUUAAUAAUCACCCCUAAUUCUUUUAAACAUUCCUGAUCAUCAUCAGAUUCGAGACUAUCUAACAUCUCUUGUUAACAUACUCAGGAAUGCGCCCAUAUUUUAUUUAGCAGGCCAUAUUACGAUCAUCAGCCUCUCUCCAGCGUCAUAGCAUUUCUCUUAUUAUUCAUGACGUAUAGAGCCAGUGAACCUCCGGUUGACUAGCUAGCCCAUCACCCUCGUUCGAAAGUGCGCUAUUAACAUGCAAUCAUAAUGAUACUAAAUACCAUUACCAAAACAUGACAUUCACCUCCAAAAAUCCCAGGAGCGUGCCUUUACAGGUUCAUAUCUAACACCGAUAGGUCGCUAUACGAGUCGAGGGGGGAGAAUAAUACCCGAAGUCGGGCUAGCUCAGUGCACGUGGGCCGUGACCCAGUAAUGACCCGAAAACAAGCCGUGCACUGGCAGAGAAUUCACACGGUAUUUCCCAUACACGGCGAAGCGAUACGCACGGGCACCGCAUCAAAAGGCAUAAUCAUACCCAUAGCACCCCCGCACGACAGAGCUGUUCUUUUCGAUUAAUUUCCGCACACUGCAUGUGUCUAGCCAGGACUUCUUAUUGUAUACAGCUGAUGUACAACACAGCGGCGCCUCUUUUGAUUGUAUAAAAUUGGAUAUUCAACAAGCGGACUAACCAUGGGUCAGGUGUUAAAACGAGCCAAAGCAAAGCGCAAGAAG